GUCACCGGGUAUUUGCAAACAAUAAAGCAUUUCCAGGCGAUAGUUGUAGGAUAUUGAAGCCUGAAGGACUUGCAGUUGAUUAUUUGUGACUGUGAGAGCGGCAGGAACAGUGAGAUGAAAGUUGUGCAUUGUGCAAUGUGCAAGGAGUUGGGAACAAUUAUCGACGGCUCAGAUCGGCGGCCCAGUCACCGCCCGCGGCCAUCAGAGGUCAUCACCGGGGUUAAUCGGCUUGGCGGGCCGGUCUAGCUGCCAGGGGCCGACUGCCGCCGGCGCCCGCCGCGCCGCCCCGUCCACCACCCGGCCAUGCAACACUCAUCAAUCGGACCCGACCCGAGGCAGAUCACCCCCCCCUCCCCCCAGCUACAUGGCUGGUCGACUUUCAUUUGAAGAUGUCCCGCCCUCUUAUGAAGAACAAUUACUGUGUUUAUUGUAGGUAUGUUUUAAUUGCCAAUGUCUCAAUAAAAUCCGGAGCACGGCUCCAA